GCCGGUUUGGCUCAGUGGAUAGAGUGUCAGCCUGGCUGAAGGGUCGUCACGGGUUCGAUUCCAGUCAAGGGCA
rnacentral:tRNA from 1 species